AAAUUGAAUAGGCAGGUUUUGAGGUGCAGAUGUUGUGACCUCACACAGUAAACACUGACAGAGGGGUGAAUAACCUGGAGUGGAGUAUUUUAUGCCGCUGAAGUGGAAGAUCUCUUGAAAUCUUCUGUUUUUAUGAGCUGUAGAUAAACAGAUCAGUCAGUCAUGUUGUCCAGUUCUUCUGUUCUGCUGCUUCUGCUGAUUUUCUCCUUCAUUCACCCCUUCACCACACAGAAUUUACACUUGUGGACAGCCGUCGUAUGUGUGUAGAUCCUUGUGCUAAAUGGGUGCAGCGACAUAUUAAAAUUAACAAGCACUAAACUCA